GGUGAUUGUUCGUUGUCGCUCUCCCUGUGGAUCUUGCCGGAGUGGCUGUGUAAGUCCUGGUGCUGCAAGAGUUCCCUGUGGUUCUGAAAGCUGAUAUGGCAGUGAUUGCAUCUGAAGGCCGCCUGUGAAAGCUUUCAGAGACAUGCAAACACACCGACAGAGCGUCAGAAUGAAGGAGGACCUGUGAUUCCCGUCCAGCUGUUGGCUCAGGAAACAGGGUGGAGGGAGGCGUUAACAAGAGCACCUUCACCGGUGUUGAGUCCAUUACAAAUGUGUAAAAUAAAAAAGUGAACUGAAGUGAGGUCACUACAUAAGCUUGUGCUUGGUGUUGCUAUGUGAGUUAUGCAUGUCUGCAAGUUUAUACCCGAUUCUGAAGCACGAGUCUCACAUCACAAAAGCGAAGAGAACGUAUGAGCGUGUGUAUCAGCGGGUGAAUCAUAUUCAUCCUCAUCAUCAGCUGGAUCCUGUCACCGACACCACACACUGCCUGGAGAGACUCUCUCUCAAUCCUUAUCUUCUAAUUAAAAUAACAGAACUCCCACUGCACUCGGCAGCAGUUAACAUCAGCGCACAUCUGAACUGUCACCUGCCACAGGGAGAGCAACUCAACACCAGUCGAACAAUCCCCCGAAAGCACAGAAACGUUUCAUUAAGAGCUCAUCAUGAACACAGCGGGAGCAAAAAAGAGACGUUCCUAAAGUGAUCUCUUGUCAAAAACUCACCUGGGCUUGCAAUUUUCUUGUUUCUUGCAAAAUAUUUUUGGAAGUGUUCGAGGAUUAGUGGCGCGUGUGUGUGUGUGUGUGUGUGUGUGUGUGUGUGUGUGUGUGUGUGUGUGUGUGUGUGUGACAGAGACGUUCAAUUUCCCGAAUCUAGUUUUGAAGAUUUUUUUUUUCGUGAAACAAAUAAUAAAUAGUGAAUAUUGAGCCA